AACGUACGCUGGCGGCACGCCUAACACAUGCAAGUCGAACGAAGUAGCAAUACUUAGUGGCAGACGGGUGAGUAACAUGUAGGUAUCUGCCCUUUGGCCUGGAAUAACACGAGGAAACUUGUGCUAAUACCGGAUAAGUCUUUACGGAGAAAGCUUUAUGCACCAUUGGAUGAGCCUGCACUUGAUUAGUUUGUUGGUAGGGUAAUGGCCUACCAAGACUGUGAUCAAUAGCUGAUUUGAGAGGAUGAUCAGCCACAUUGGGACUGAGACACGGCCCAAACUCCUACGGGAGGCAGCAGUGGGGAAUCUUGCACAAUGGAGGAAACUCUGAUGCAGCGAUGCCGCGUGAGUGAAGAAGGCCUUUGGGUUGUAAAGCUCUUUCGUCGGGGAAGAAAAUGACUGUACCCGAAUAAGAAGGUCCGGCUAACUUCGUGCCAGCAGCCGCGGUAAUACGAAGGGACCUAGCGUAGUUCGGAAUUACUGGGCUUAAAGAGUUCGUAGGUGGUUGAAAAAGUUGGUGGUGAAAUCCCAGAGCUUAACUCUGGAACUGCCAUCAAAACUUUUCAGCUAGAGUAUGAUAGAGGAAAGCAGAAUUUCUAGUGUAGAGGUGAAAUUCGUAGAUAUUAGAAAGAAUACCAAUUGCGAAGGCAGCUUUCUGGAUCAUUACUGACACUGAGGAACGAAAGCAUGGGUAGCGAAGAGGAUUAGAUACCCUCGUAGUCCAUGCCGUAAACGAUGUGUGUUAGACGUUGGAAAUUUAUUUUCAGUGUCGCAGCGAAAGCGAUAAACACACCGCCUGGGGAGUACGACCGCAAGGUUAAAACUCAAAUGAAUUGACGGGGACCCGCACAAGUAGUGGAGCAUGUGGUUUAAUUCGAAGAUACGCGCAGAACCUUACCAACACUUGACAUGUUCGUCGCGACUCUAAGAGAUUAGAGUUUUCGGUUCGGCCGGACGAAACACAGGUGCUGCAUGGCUGUCGUCAGCUCGUGUCGUGAGAUGUUGGGUUAAGUCCCGCAACGAGCGCAACCCUCACUUUUAGUUGCCAUCAUUAAGUUGGGCACUCUGAAAGAACUGCCAGUGAUAAGCUGGAGGAAGGUGGGGAUGACGUCAAGUCCUCAUGGCCCUUACGUGUUGGGCUACACACGUGCUACAAUGGUAUCUACAACAGGAAGCAAGACUGCGAAGUUAAGCAAAUCCUUAAAAGAUACCUCAGUUCGGAUUGCACUCUGCAACUCGAGUGCAUGAAGCUGGAAUUACUAGUAAUCGUGGAUCAGCGUGCCACGGUGAAUGCGUUCCCGGGUCU
rnacentral:rRNA from 1 species